rnacentral:tRNA from 1 species
GCCUGGGUGGCUCAGUUGGUUAAGCGUCUGACCUCGGCUCAGGUCAUGAUCUCCCAGUUCGUCGUUCAGGUUCGUGGGUUCAAGCCCCACUUACGGCU